CCUACGGGAGGCUGCAGUGGGGGAUAUUGCACAAUGGGGGGAACCCUGAUGCAGCGACGCCGCGUGGGUGAAGAAGCGCCUCGGCGCGUAAAGCCCUGUCAGCAGGGAAGAAAAUGACGGUACCUGAAGCAGAAGCCCCGGCUAACUACGUGCCAGCAGCCGCGGUAAUACGUAGGGGGCAAGCGUUAUCCGGAUUUACUGGGUGUAAAGGGGUCGCAGACGGCGAUGCAAGCCAGGAGUGAAAGCCCGGGGCCCAACCCCGGGACUGCUCUUGGUACUGCGUGGCUGGAGUGCAGGAGGGGGAGGCGGAAGGCCUGGUGUAGCGGUGAAAUGCGUAGAUAUCAGGAGGAACACCGGUGGCGAAGGCGGCCUGCUGGACUGCAACUGACGUUGAGGCCCGAAAGCGUGGGGAGCAAACAGGAUUAGAUACCCGUGUAGUC
rnacentral:rRNA from 1 species